GAAACCCUGAUGCAGCGAUGCCGCGUGAGCGAUGAAGGUCUUCGGAUGGUAAAGCUCUGUCCUUAGGGAUGAAUUUUGACAGUACCUAAGGAGGAAGCCCCGGCUAACUACGUGCCAGCAGCCGCGGUAAUACGUAGGGGGCGAGCGUUGUCCGGAAUCACUGGGCGUAAAGGGAGCGUAGGCGGCUUUGUAAGUCAGAUGUUAAAGCCAUUGGCUUAAUCAAUGUAAGCAUUUGAAACUACAAGGCUUGAGUACAGGAGAGGAGAGUGGAAUUCCUAGUGGAGCGGUGAAAUGCGUAGAUAUUAGGAGGAACACCAGUGGCGAAGGCGACUCUCUGGACUGUUACUGACGCUGAGGCUCGAAAGCGUGGGGAGCAAACAGGAUUAGAUACCCUGGUAGUCC
rnacentral:rRNA from 1 species